AUUGAACGCUGGCGGCAUGCUUUACACAUGCAAGUCGAACGGUAACAGGCCGCAAGGUGCUGACGAGUGGCGAACGGGUGAGUAAUGCAUCGGAACGCGCCCAGUCGUGGGGGAUAACGCAGCGAAAGCUGUGCUAAUACCGCAUACGAUCGAUGGAUGAAAGCGGGGGACCGUAAGGCCUCGCGCGAUUGGAGCGGCCGAUGUCAGAUUAGCUAGUUGGUGGGGUAAAGGCCCACCAAGGCGACGAUCUGUAGCUGGUCUGAGAGGACGACCAGCCACACUGGGACUGAGACACGGCCCAGACUCCUACGGGAGGCAGCAGUGGGGAAUUUUGGACAAUGGGCGCAAGCCUGAUCCAGCAAUGCCGCGUGCAGGAAGAAGGCCUUCGGGUUGUAAACUGCUUUUGUACGGAACGAAACGGUCUGGGUUAAUACCCUGGGCUAAUGACGGUACCGUAAGAAUAAGCACCGGCUAACCACGUGCCAGCAGCCGCCGUAAAAC
rnacentral:rRNA from 1 species